GGCGGUGUAGCUCAGGUGGCUAGAGCGACGGUCUCAUAAUCCGUAGGUCGCUGGUUCGAGUCCAGCCGCCGCCACCA
rnacentral:tRNA from 1 species